rnacentral:rRNA from 1 species
UACGUAGGGUGCGAGCGUUGUCCGGAAUUAUUGGGCGUAAAGAGCUCGUAGGCGGCUUGUCGCGUCGGAUGUGAAAGCCCGGGGCUUAACUCCGGGUCUGCAUUCGAUACGGGCAGACUAGAGUGUGGUAGGGGAGACUGGAAUUCCUGGUGUAGCGGUGAAAUGCGCAGAUAUCAGGAGGAACACCGAUGGCGAAGGCAGGUCUCUGGGCCACUACUGACGCUGAGAAGCGAAAGCGUGGGGAGCGAACAGG